GUUUACGGCCAACCACCCUGAACACGCCCGAUCUCGUCUGAUCUCGGAAGCUAAGCAGGGUCGGGCCUGGUUAGUACUUGGAUGGGAGAACCCGCCUGGGAAUACCAGGUGCUGUAAGCU
rnacentral:rRNA from 1 species